GCAGGACUGAGCCCAGCUGGUGUUGGGUGCGGACUUCAAAUCCGUAGGGGAGUAACUGCCCAGCAGUUCGAUUCUGCCUGACCUGC
rfam:Blastocystis hominis, Singapore isolate B (sub-type 7) whole genome shotgun sequence assembly, scaffold_1